CUUUAGCGCAUGAUACGCCCGUUGCUCUUUUAACUUGUCUUUUAAGCUUUAAAUGAAUUUAUAUGAUCAACUAGAAAUAUAUAUACAAAUCAAAAGGGAUGUUACAUUAAUAUAUUCACCAAAGUUUCAUAAAAUCCCCCUUUUUUAAGAAUAAAAAUUCAUUACUUUAGAAAACGUAAAAUCUAAAAUUUAUAAAAAUGGAAAGGGAGCUUAUGUCAAUAGAUAUAAACAAUGUAUCAAAGUUGCAUAAAAUUUUGUGAAAGUGUUAGUUAUUGUCCCAAAAUUGGAAAAUCCCCCUUUUUUAAGC
rnacentral:lncRNA from 1 species